rnacentral:lncRNA from 1 species
ACUGACAUGACCCAUUUUCUACUUUGUAUUAUACGGCCCGACAGUAGUGUGACGUUACUUUCUCAAAGCUAUGAGAAAAAAUGUGUAAAGGAGAUAUCUAGCGUCAAUUACGGUUGGUUUAGUUUAAAAUAUGAUGAUUAUACAGAGAGGACAUGGUGGUAUAUAAAGUGUUAAAGCCAAAAAUAUAUAUAUAUAUAUAUGACGUGACUUAUUUGUUUGGUGUAUGUACUCAAAACUUCCACUUCUAGAUUUCACUACAUGUUUUGUGCCAAAAAAAAAAAAAAGAUUUCACUACAUGCAUAAAAAAUCAUUACAUAUUACAGAAGACUUAUUAAAGUUAGCAUUGUGUACUUUAUCAACAUUCCGUAGCCGUUUGAUGCGAUAAAAAAAAAGGUUCCGUAAUCGUAGUUUUAGAUUAUUGUUAGGUGGACG